rnacentral:hammerhead_ribozyme from 1 species
AUCCAGUCGACGCGCUUCAAAUAAGACGAAACGCGCGUCCUGGAU